AUUGAACGCUGGCGGCAGGCCUAACACAUGCAAGUCGAACGGUAGCACAGAGAGCUUGCUCUCGGGUGACGAGUGGCGGACGGGUGAGUAAUGUCUGGGAAACUGCCCGAUGGAGGGGGAUAACUACUGGAAACGGUAGCUAAUACCGCAUAACGUCGCAAGACCAAAGUGGGGGACCUUCGGGCCUCACACCAUCGGAUGUGCCCAGAUGGGAUCAGCUAGUAGGUGGGGUAAUGGCUCACCUAGGCGACGAUCCCUAGCUGGUCUGAGAGGAUGACCAGCCACACUGGAACGGAGACACGGUCCAGACUCCUACGGGAGGCAGCAGUGGGGAAUAUUGCACAAUGGGCGCAAGCCUGAUGCAGCCAUGCCGCGUGUAUGAAGAAGGCCUUCGGGUUGUAAAGUACUUUCAGCGGGGAGGAAGGCGGUGAAGUUAAUAACUUCACCGAUUGACGUUACCCGCAGAAGAAGCACCGGCUAACUCCGUGCCAGCCGCCGCAGUAA
rnacentral:rRNA from 1 species